GACGGACGCUGGCGGCGUGCCUAAUACAUGCAAGUUGAGCGAUGAAGAUUGGUGCUUGCACCAAUUUGAAGAGCAGCGAACGGGUGAGUAACGCGUGGGGAAUCUGCCUUUGAGCGGGGGACAACAUUUGGAAACGAAUGCUAAUACCGCAUAACAACUUUAAACAUAAGUUUUAAGUUUGAAAGAUGCAAUUGCAUCACUCAAAGAUGAUCCCGCGUUGUAUUAGCUAGUUGGUGAGGUAAAGGCUCACCAAGGCGAUGAUACAUAGCCGACCUGAGAGGGUGAUCGGCCACAUUGGGACUGAGACACGGCCCAAACUCCUACGGGAGGCAGCAGUAGGGAAUCUUCGGCAAUGGACGAAAGUCUGACCGAGCAACGCCGCGUGAGUGAAGAAGGUUUUCGGAUCGUAAAACUCUGUUGGUAGAGAAGAACGUUGGUGAGAGUGGAAAGCUCAUCAAGUGACGGUAACUACCCAGAAAGGGACGGCUAACUACGU
rnacentral:rRNA from 1 species